UAGGGAAUAUUGCACAAUGGGGGGAACCCUGAUGCAGCAACGCCACGUGUGGGAAGAAGCAUUUCGGUGUGUAAACCACUGUCGGAAGGGAAUAAUAUGAAGAUUCGUCUUUUUUGAAUGUACCUUUAGAGGAAGCACCGGCAAACUUCGUGCCAGCAGCCGCGGUAAUACGAGGGGUGCGAGCGUUGUUCGGAAUCACUGGGCGUAAAGGGAGCGUAGGCGGAAAGUCAAGCGAUCUGUAUAAUUCCGGGGCCCAACUCCGGCCUUGCAGAUCGGACUGUCUUUCUUGAAUAGUUCAGGGGCAAGCGGAAUUCCUGGUGUAGCGGUGGAAUGCGUAGAGAUCAGGAAGAACACCGAUGGCGAAGGCAGCUUGCUGGGGACUUAUUGACGCUGAGGCUCGAAAGUGCGGGUAGCAAACAGG
rnacentral:rRNA from 2 species